AAUCAGCCGGUACUCCGAAUGCUCUAGAUUUUAGUUUGAUCAUGGCUCAGAGUCGAACGCUGGUCGGUAGGCCUAACACAUGCAAGUCGAACGGCAGCACAGGAGAGCUUGCUCUCUGGGUGGCGAGUGGCGGACGGGUGAGGAAUACAUCGGAAUCUACUCUGUCGUGGGGGAUAACGUAGGGAAACUUACGCUAAUACCGCAUACGACCUACGGGUGAAAGCAGGGGAUCUUCGGACCUUGCGCGAUUGAAUGAGCCGAUGUCGGAUUAGCUAGUUGGCGGGGUAAAGGCCCACCAAGGCGACGAUCCGUAGCUGGUCUGAGAGGAUGAUCAGCCACACUGGAACUGAGACACGGUCCAGACUCCUACGGGAGUGCAGCAGUGGNGGAAUACUUGGACAAUGGUGCUGCAAGGCACUGGAAUCCAAGGCCAUUUACCNGCUGUGG
rnacentral:rRNA from 1 species